rnacentral:rRNA from 1 species
UACAGAGGUCCCAAGCGUUGUUCGGAUUCACUGGGCGUAAAGGGUGCGUAGGUGGUGAGGUAAGUCGGAUGUGAAAGCUCCGAGCUCAACUCGGAAAUGGCAUUGGAAACUACCUUGCUCGAGGGUUUGAGGGGGGACUGGAAUACUUGGUGUAGCAGUGAAAUGCGUAGAUAUCGUAAGGAAGACCAGUGGCGAAGGCGGGUCUCUGGACAGUUCCUGACGCUGAGGCACGAAGGUCAGGGGAGCAAACGGG